rnacentral:snRNA from 1 species
GGAUGUGAGGGCCAUCUGGCUGCGACAUCUGUCACCCCAUUGAUUACCAGGGUUGAUUUGGCUGAUCUGGUUGGCUAGGCAUGUGUCCCCUUCCUCUCUCACCGCUCCAUGUGAGUCGCUCCCAAAGCUGCAUGCUCAGUCGAAGAGGAUGACCUUCCCCAAUAGAGGAGAGGACUGUUCUGUCAAGGGUAUACAAGUAGCUGAGCUCCCCUGCUAAAACCUCCAAACAAGCUCUCAGGGACCCCAGUGAGGCCCGGUCCAGAGGCUGGAGGCAAUAAGGUAAGGAGUCAGACUCCUU